ensembl:snoRNA
CCUCCUUUUCUUGGCCGGGGGAUUGGGCGUGUGGUCUCAGCCCCCCUAAUGUACAGAGGUAGAGGGAAAGGGCUCUGGCCCUCUCAGUAUCACGGAUUCAGUACCAGCGGCUUCCAGUCCACUGGUUCUAGCCUGAGUGCCAGGACAUGA